rnacentral:rRNA from 1 species
GACGAACGCUGGCGGCGUGCUUAACACAUGCAAGUCGAACGGAAAGGCCCUGCUUUUGUGGGGUGCUCGAGUGGCGAACGGGUGAGUAACACGUGAGUAACCUGCCCUUGACUUUGGGAUAACUUCAGGAAACUGGGGCUAAUACCGGAUAGGAGCUCCUGCUGCAUGGUGGGGGAUGGAAAGUUUCGGCGGUUGGGGAUGGACUCGCGGCUUAUCAGCUUGUUGGUGGGGUAGUGGCUUACCAAGGCUUUGACGGGUAGCCGGCCUGAGAGGGUGAACGGCCACAAUGGGACUGAGAUACGGCCCAGACUCCUACGGGAGGCAGCAGUGGGGAAUAUUGCACAAUGGGCGGAAGCCUGAUGCAGAAACGCCGCGUGCGGGAUGACGGCCUUCGGGUUGUAAACCGCUUUCGCCUGUGACGAAGCGUGAGUGACGGUAAUGGGUAAAGAAGCACCGGCUAACUACGUG